rnacentral:rRNA from 1 species
AACGCGAAGAACCUUACCUACCCUUGACAUGUACGGAAUCCUGAAGAGAUUUAGGAGUGCUCGAAAGAGAACCGUAACACAGGUGCUGCAUGGCUGUCGUCAGCUCGUGUCGUGAGAUGUUGGGUUAAGUCCCGCAACGAGCGCAACCCUUGUCAUUAGUUGCUACGAAAGGGCACUCUAAUGAGACUGCCGGUGACAAACCGGAGGAAGGUGGGGAUGACGUCAAGUCCUCAUGGCCCUUAUGGGUAGGGCUUCACACGUCAUACAAUGGUACAUACAGAGGGCCGCCAACCCGCGAGGGGGAGCUAAUCCCAGAAAGUGUAUCGUAGUCCGGAUUGGAGUCUGCAACUCGACUCCAUGAAGUUGGAAUCGCUAGUAAUCGCGGAUCAGCAUGUCGCGGUGAAUACGUUCCCGGGUCUUGUACACACC